rnacentral:misc_RNA from 1 species
AACGCACAUUGCGCCCCCUGGUAUUCCGGGGGGCAUGCCUGUCCGAGCGUCAUUGCACCCCUCAAGCCCGGCUUGUUCUUGGGUCGUGUCUCUCCAUCUCGGGGAGACAGGCCUUAAACGCAAUGGCGGCACCGCGUCCGGUCCUCGAGCGUAUGGGGCUUCGUCACCCGCUUCGUAGGCCGGCCGGUCGCUUGCUCUCCAACCCCCAAUCUUCUUAGGUUGACCUCGGAUCAGGUAGGGAUACCCGCUGAACUUAA